GCUGGCAGCUAGCUCUCUGCAACUCUCACAUGGUUGCCCACUGAAUGCUAAGCAGGGCUGUGCUUGGUCAGUACCUGGAUGGGAGACCACAAGGGAAAGCUAGGUUGCUGCCGGAA
ensembl:rRNA 5S_rRNA 5S ribosomal RNA